UACGGAAGGGGCAAGCGUUGUUCGGAAUCAUUGGGCGUAAAGGGCGCGUAGGCGGUCAGCACAAGUCAGUUGUGAAAUCUCCGGGCUUAACUCGGAAAGGUCAACUGAUACUGUGCGACUAGAGUGCAGAAGGGGCAACUGGAAUUCUCGGUGUAGCGGUGAAAUGCGUAGAUAUCGAGAGGAACACCUGCGGCGAAGGCGGGUUGCUGGGCUGAUACUGACGCUGAGGCGCGAAAGCUAGGGGAGCGAACGGG
rnacentral:rRNA from 1 species